AUGCAGUCGAGGGGUAACGGGGUGCUUGCACCGCCGACGACCGGCGCACGGGUGCGCAACGCGUAUACAAUCUACCUUAUGCUGAGGGAUAGCCCAGAGAAAUUUGGAUUAAGACCUCAUGGUAUCGGAAGACGGCAUCGUUUUCUGAUUAAAGGUUACGGCAUAAGAUGAGUAUGCGUCCCAUUAGCUAGUUGGUGUGGUAACGGCACACCAAGGCAACGAUGGGUAGGGGUCCUGAGAGGGAGAUCCCCCACACUGGUACUGAGACACGGACCAGACUCCUACGGGAGGCAGCAGUGAGGAAUAUUGGACAAUGGACGAAAGUCUGAUCCAGCCAUGCCGCGUGCAGGAAGACGGUCCUAUGGAUUGUAAACUGCUUUUAUACGGGAAGAAUAAGGGCUACGUGUAGCCCGGUGACGGUACCGUAAGAAUAAGGAUCGGCUAACUCCGUGCCAGCAGCCGCGGUAAUACGGAGGAUCCAAGCGUUAUCCGGAAUCAUUGGGUUUAAAGGGUCCGUAGGCGGACUAUUAAGUCAGGGGUGAAAGUCUGCAGCUCAACUGUAGAAUUGCCUUUGAUACUGGUAGUCUUGAGUUAUGGUGAAGUGGCUAGAAUAUGUAGUGUAGCGGUGAAAUGCAUAGAUAUUACAUAGAAUACCGAUUGCGAAGGCAGGUCACUAACCAUACACUGACGCUGAUGGACGAAAGCGUGGGGAGCGAACAGGAUUAGAUACCCUGGUAGUCCACGCCGUAAACGAUGGAUACUAGCUGUUCGGACUUCGGUCUGAGCGGCCAAGCGAAAGUGAUAAGUAUCCCACCUGGGGAGUACGUUCGCAGAUUGAAACUCAAAGGAAUUGACGGGGGCCCGCACAAGCGGUGGAGCAUGUGGUUUAAUUCGAUGAUACGCGAGGAACCUUACAGGGCUAAAUGUGGUCCUGACAGCUUUAAAGAUAGAGCUUCUUCGGAAAGAUCACAAGUGCUGCAUGGUUGUCGUCAGCUCGUGCCGUGAGGGGUCAGGUUAAGUCCUUAAACGAGCGCACCCCUGGGGUUAGUUGCAAGCGAGGAAUGACCGGGAACUCUAGCAAGACUGCCGGUGCCAACGUUA
rnacentral:rRNA from 1 species